rnacentral:rRNA from 1 species
GACGAACGCUGGCGGCGUGCUUAACACAUGCAAGUCGAGGGAGAAAGCCCGCAAGGGUUAGUAAACCGGCGAACGGGUGCGUAACACGUGGAUAAUCUACCUCGGUGACCGGGACAACUGGCCGAAAGGCUUGCUAAUACCGGAUAAGCCCACGACGUUCACGGACGUCGAGGGAAAAGGCGGCCUCUGCAUGCAAGCUGUCACAUCGAGAUGAGUCCGCGGCCCAUCAGCUAGUGGCGGGGUAAUGGCCCACCAAGGCGACGACGGGUAGCUGGUCUGAGAGGAUGAUCAGCCACACUGGAACUGAGACACGGUCCAGACUCCUACGGGAGGCAGCAGGUGGGGAAUCUUGCGCAAUGGGACGAAAGCCUGACGCAGCAACGCCGCGUGUGUGAU